GUAAGGCAAAGGCAGCACAAAGCCGGACGUUCUGGAGGUAGGUGGGGGCCGAUUUCCUACCGAACCCAGACUAACGUUCGAAAACAGAAAAAUGAACCAAUCAUGAAUUAUGCUGUUUUACACUUGUCUCAAACUGGCAAUUGCUUGAGGAGGAAAGAGCCUCCUGUCUCGGUCAUUGUCAGCUAAUAGAUGAAAAUGGAUGCUUUUCCAAACCUGCAUUUGAAUUUUUAAAGUCUUACGUUUCACACCAAGCCCCAAAUUUCAGUCAACAUUUCCACUUACUAAAAGGAAGUAAUCGAUGAAUAAACUUUGUUUUUAAAGAAUUACCUUUGGGAAGGGAAGUAGAAAUCCAUGCAUAAUUCAUGGACUGGCAAGCGAUCUCCCAGUGUCUCUUUAGCAUUGCUCACCGAACACCUGGCCCCGGAGGUGCAAAACUCCCCGUUCUCUGCAGACCCGUCAACAAGUAUUUGGUGCUGCGAGCUCUGAUGUUCAACCCCUGAUUUACAAUUGCUUCUCCUGAGACAGAAGCGGAGCGUGGGGAGCGCCGGGAACGUGCCUGCUCUAAAAGGCAUCUGUUGCUGCCUGAUGAUGCUGUUGAUCUUUAGGGGAAGGAAUUUAUUGAUUUGUUUCCCUUAGAAGUGCUUCUGCGAAUUGAUCUGGCCGUUUUGACGUCGCAGGCUUGCUAAUGCCUCUGCGUCCCUGGCGGUGGUUGGAAAUGAUCCUGCCACAAGGAAAAGGCCGCAUCGUCCUGACACUCUGGGCUCUGGCCUGGCUCCUCGGGGUCUGAAGGCCUCCAGCCCGUGUUGAGUCCUGCAGACUUCUUGUUAUUCAGUAACAACCGGUGAUCUCAGACUGUGCUCUGCUCCCAGCAGCCCUGGGGAACGGGGGCCAAGGGUAUCUCUAUGGGUAUUUUCCUUGCUUAAAGCAACCAGAGGGACAGGGCCAAAGAAGGUCAUGUGUGCCCUGAAUGGCUGUCAUUUCUAUGAUAUCUCCAUUCCAGGCAUAGGUGGAGUAGGAGCAGCAGAGCCACUGGAUAAAGCGCAUUUUUUAAUUUAAUUUUUUUAUUGGAGUUCAAUUUGCCAACAUAUAGCAUAACACCCCGUGCUCAUCCCAUCAAGUGCCCCCCUCAGUGCCCAUCACCCAGUCACCCCCACCCCCCGCCCACCUCCCUUUCCACCACCCCUUGUUCGUUUCCCAGAGUUAGGAGUCUCUGCGCAUGGGGUUUUGAAUCCAAAUUUCCACCAUUUACAGCCCGAACAAUCUGACGUGAGUCAUUGCUCCCCAUCCAAACCUGACUUCAUACAUCUGGAAAAUGGGAAUAAUCACACCUGCCCAUAAGGCGGCUGUGAGGCCUGAGUGAGAUUAAUCAUACUCGGACUCGAUCGAGCAGCGUGGCAGGUUCUGGACUCAUAAAUUAGUUUGGGGACAUGGCUGGCCUUUGGGUAAGUAUAAUCCAUUUAUCGCCUGCUACAGAUGUCCCAGGCUCACACUGAAAAGUGU
rnacentral:lncRNA from 12 species